UGAGAAAGAUGUCUAGGACAGAGAAAGGGAGGUUGCAGUAUUCCACAUUCCAGUGCAAGCACGAGGAGGCGCAGGAGAGGGAGACACUUAAGUCAAACACCUACCACAUUCAUAUCUACUGACACGCCAGCACUGAUUUCAAGGAGAAUAUAUCCAUACCGCAUACAGGAAGAAAAUCAACACCAUGUCAAAAAUUACACGCAAGUGAGGAAACACACCAAAUCUAAAUCACAAGGAAAUCUCAUUCCCAGUAAGUGGCCUAUGAAACAAACUUCAAUAAUCUGCUGAAAGAAGCCUCUUCUCAUAUUUUAUGGGAAUAGAGAGAAAAGAGAGACUUCAAGAUAAUGAGGGAGAGAAGAGUUCUUACAUAUCAAGAAAAAUCUUCAAGACUGAAAUGGCACUUCUCACAGCAUUCAUAUGAACUGCAUAAAGCCAAUUCAGGGAAUACGGAUUAGGUAUACUUUUCCCUAAUCCUCCUGCUAAGUAAACUGAACAAAUCUGAACAUGAUACACAGAACAAAUGUAAAAAUACCCUGAAAAGUGGAGAGAAGCCAAA
rnacentral:lncRNA from 1 species